AUGUUUAGGAGAGUAACUCUGCUCUGGAGCAAUCUCCGGAACAGAAUUCCUGCUCCAGCCUCAAGAUCUCCAACACUGCACUCUAGGACCUGCAACUGCUCCUCCUUGCAAACAACCGAAUUCUUCUUCUGGAAUGCCUUGGAGACGAGAGACCAUUUUGGCACUGCGAUUUGCUUGGACAAGAGGUGUACUGUUGACUCGAGGAGAGAGGCGGUGAUCUCCCUAGCCUCGCUCAACAGCCUGACCAUCCUGCAGUCCUCCUUCUCAGAUGUAACCUUCUUCGCGGCCUUCUUGAAAUGUUUCUUCGCCUUCUUCACCAGGCGGGUGUAA
rnacentral:rRNA from 1 species